UACAAUGGAACAAACAAGAGGUCAGAGGAAGUCGAACCAGAACCGUCCCCUUCUUAACCCUAAUCCCUAAACAGCAAAAUACUAAUUUCACAAAACUAUUGUGCUCGUCUUCUUCGUCAGCUAAUCUUCUAACUGAGUGAAAUAAUUGAAGGGGAAUCGGUGGUGAUGGAAGGUAACACUCAAGAAUCGUCGCCUCAGUCUUUUUGGAAAGGCUAAUAGAGUUUUGUGGCGAGCGGUUAUCAUUUAUGAGCAAUUAUUCAAAUUUCGUCAAGCUUUAUAAACCACUUACCUCCUGGUCUAACUGUGAUGUUGAGGAAUUCAUCGCUUUUGAUCCUGUUCAUGGACUUGUGGGUCUGUCAACAACGGUAUUCUAAUGCCCGCGGACGAGAGGACAAAAUAUAGUCACCACUAGGAUCUUUGUCAACAGGAGCCCUUGGAAGCUUGAACGACGAUGAUUCAUCUGAGGUAGCUACGCUUCUUGAAUUAGUUGAGGGAGCAAUAAAGUAGAGGAAGAGAAAUUAAAGGUUUCUCUGUUACAUUUAUGUAUUAUUUUAUACAUAAGCACUUAUAAGAUAAGCGGUUUUCCCAUGUAAUUGCAUAUUACAGAAGGAGUUAAUAGUUCUCAUGAUGAGUGGAGGAGAUUUUGGAGUAUCGGUUUUUCCUGUUGCGAAGAGUAUUUUUACUUGGAUAAAGGCUAUACUGGUGUGUGUGAUACAUUCAAAAUACAUUUGGU